CAGCCGCCGCGGGAAUACGUAGGUGGCAAGCGUUGUCCGGAAUUAUUGGGCGUAAAGCGCGCGCAGGUGGUUUAAUAAGUCUGAUGUGAAAGCCCACGGCUCAACCGUGGAGGGUCAUUGGAAACUGUUAAACUUGAGUGCAGGAGAGAAAAGUGGAAUUCCUAGUGUAGCGGUGAAAUGCGUAGAGAUUAGGAGGAACACCAGUGGCGAAGGCGGCUUUUUGGCCUGUAACUGACUCUGAGGCGCGAAAGCGUGGGGAGCAAACAGGAUUAGAGACCCCCGUAGUCCCUGUCUCUUAUAC
rnacentral:rRNA from 1 species